rnacentral:rRNA from 1 species
CCUACGGGUGGCAGCAGUGGGGGAUAUUGCACAAUGGGGGAAACCCUGAUGCAGCGACGCCGCGUGGGUGAAGAAGCGCCUCGGCGCGUAAAGCCCUGUCAGCAGGGAAGAAAAUGACGGUACCUGAAGAAGAAGCCCCGGCUAACUACGAGCAAGCAGCCGCGUUAAUACGUAGGGGGCAAUCGUUAUCCGGAUUUACUGGGUGUAAAGGGGGCGCAGACGGCGAUGCAAGCAAGGAGUGAAAGCCCGGGGCCCAACCCCGGGACUGCUCUUGGAACUGCGUGGCUAGAGUGCAGGAGGGGCAGGCGGAAUUCCUGGUGUAGCGGUGAAAUGCGUAGAUAGCAGGAGGAACACCGGUGGCGAAGGCGGCCUGCUGGACUGCAACUGACGUUGAGGCCCGAAAGCGUGGGGAGCAAACAGGAUUAGAUACCCCAGUAGUC